rnacentral:rRNA from 1 species
GACGAACGCUGGCGGCGUGCUUAACACAUGCAAGUCGAACGGAAAGGCCCUGCUUGCAGGGUACUCGAGUGGCGAACGGGUGAGUAACACGUGGGUGAUCUGCCCUGCACUUCGGGAUAAGCCUGGGAAACUGGGUCUAAUACCGGAUAGGAGCCAUUUUUAGUGUGAUGGUUGGAAAGUUUUUUCGGUGUAGGAUGAGCUCGCGGCCUAUCAGCUUGUUGGUGGGGUAAUGGCCUACCAAGGCGGCGACGGGUAGCCGGCCUGAGAGGGUGGACGGCCACAUUGGGACUGAGAUACGACCCAGACUCCUACGGGAGGCAGCAGUGGGGAAUAUUGCACAAUGGGCGCAAGCCUGAUGCAGCGACGCCGCGUGGGGGAUGACGGCCUUCGGGUUGUAAACUCCUUUCGCUAGGGACGAAGCUUUUUGUGACGGUACCUAGAUAAGAAGCACCGGCUAACUACGUG